rnacentral:rRNA from 1 species
AUUGAACGCUGGCGGCAUGCCUUACACAUGCAAGUCGAACGGCAGCACGGGAGCUUGCUCCUGGUGGCGAGUGGCGAACGGGUGAGUAAUACAUCGGAACGUACCCUGAAGUGGGGGAUAACGUAGCGAAAGUUACGCUAAUACCGCAUAUUCUGUGAGCAGGAAAGAGGGGGAUCGCAAGACCUCUUGCUUUAGGAGCGGCCGAUGUCGGAUUAGCUAGUUGGUGAGGUAAAGGCGCACCAAGGCGACGAUCCGUAGCGGGUCUGAGAGGAUGAUCCGCCACACUGGGACUGAGACACGGCCCAGACUCCUACGGGAGGCAGCAGUGGGGAAUUUUGGACAAUGGGCGCAAGCCUGAUCCAGCCAUGCCGCGUGAGUG